UACGUAGGGUGCGAGCGUUAAUCGGAUUUACUGGGCGUAAAGCGUGCGCAGGCGGUUUGUUAAGCGAGAUGUGAAAGCCCCGGGCUCAACCUGGGAACCGCAUUUCGAACUGGCAAACUAGAGUCUUGUAGAGGGGGGUAGAAUUCCAGGUGUAGCGGUGAAAUGCGUAGAGAUCUGGAGGAAUACCGGUGGCGAAGGCGGCCCCCUGGACAAAGACUGACGCUCAGGCACGAAAGCGUGGGGAGCAAACAGG
rnacentral:rRNA from 1 species